CUGCUGCCUUCCGUAGGAGUUUGGACCGUGUCUCAGUUCCAAUGUGGGGGACCUUCCUCUCAGAACCCCUACGCAUCGUCGGCUUGGUGGGCCGUUGCCCCACCAACUACCUAAUGCGCCGCAUGCCCAUCCGUGACCGGGGUCGCCCCCUUUGGCCGGCAGGGGAUGUCCCCUCCCGGCAUUAUGUUGUAUUAGGCGGGAUUUCUCCCGGUUAUCCAUCUGUCACGGCCAGGUUGCAUACGUGUUACUCACCCGUGCGCCGGCCGCCGGCGG
rnacentral:rRNA from 1 species